rnacentral:tRNA from 1 species
GGUCGUUAGCUCAGUUGGUAGAGCAGUUGACUUUUAAUCAAUUGGUCGCAGGUUCGAAUAUGUAAAAAAGCGCCCU